rnacentral:rRNA from 1 species
CAGUAGCCGCGGUAAUACGAAGGGUGCAAGCGUUACUCGGAAUUACUGGGCGUAAAGCGUGCGUAGGUGGUUGUUUAAGUCUGCUGUGAAAGCCCUGGGCUCAACCUGGGAAUUGCAGUGGAUACUGGGCAACUAGAGUAAGGUAGAGGAUAGUGGAAUUUCCGGUGUAGCAGUGAAAUGCGUAGAGAUCGGAAGGAACAUCUGUGGCGAAGGCGACUAUCUGGGCCAUUACUGACACUGAGGCACGAAAGCGUGGGGAGCAAACAGGAUUAGAUACCCCGGUAGUCCCUGUCUCUUAUAC